rnacentral:lncRNA from 1 species
UCUGGUUCCGUGAAGGAGUUAGUGUGGUGCGAGCGAGGCACCAAGGCUGGGGAGCUCUAACUCAGGGAGGGACAGAACAUGUAUAUGAGUGGAUGGUCGAGGAGGACCAAUGGGCUUUUCAGAAGCGUUGUUGAGCAGACGAACUCGAAGGUAGGUCAGUGUGGCAUGUGAUGCCAAGGCCGUGGGUGGCUCUAGUCUGGAAGAGUAGUAUUGCUAGCAACGGAGUUUGAAGAAGUGGUGGAGCAUCGACGAGGACGUUGAUGGUUCAAGUGGGGGAGCCUGUCACGGGUCGAUCGCUGGGACUCGACCGUGACACCUUUGGGGGCCACAUUUGGUAGGCACUUGGGUUGACGAAGUUAUGGAGUUGCGGAGUUGAGGCGUUCCAUCAGGAUGGAGUCGCUGUCAAAUCAACAGAGGUAAUUCCCUAGCAAUGGCCCGUGCCAUGACAUGAAAAUAGGUGCCGCAUGCGGGGGCUCAAAACGUACCCGUCGGUGAGCACCUUUGUACCACCGGGGUACCAAAGGGGUGGAUGCCUCGUUGGGUAUAUAGAGGAGGGGUGGACACUUCGUAAGUAGCCCCGACUCCCUCGUCGGCCCAUAGGACAUGGGUCGUCCCUUGGCUAGCGGAGUGGCCAAGCCUAGCGUUCCGUGUGACCGGGUAUUGGACGGUUGGAGGGACACGGGCCUAGUGUAAUGUCGGAGAUGCGAGAGGUCGACGACAUUACGGAGCGGGGUAUACCGGGAGGCUUUCUCCUAGGAUCGUUUGCGCUACUUUAUGCCGAUUUGGAUCUCUAUAGUGGAGCAUACGAGCGGAUGAGGGAUAGUCUAGCGACGGAUGGUCCUCUGUAAAGGACAAGGCUCGCGAAGGCAAGUGUGCUUAGCCGGGAUUCGUGGGGCGCGGCGCCCACGAAGGCCAAUGAGGCGGAACUCAAUAGGAGCGCUAAAAGGAGGCACGCCGAGGGAGAAUUCGUAUGACGGGAGGUCUACGAGAUUCGAGGGGCGGAACCUAAUGAGACAAGCGGUAUCGGUAUCCGUAUAGUGAACCUUGAUGGACUGGACCAAUGGUGUGAACGGCCAGGCGUGGUCGAGCCAAGGACGGGGCUAGUGGCUAGCGAUGCGGAGUGAGGCCGGUUCGUUUGUAUGGGGCCUUAUGAGGCGAACCUAUGGGAGUCGAGGGCGC